CUCUCGUGAUAGGGGGGUCUGGGGGGCGAAGCCCCCCAGUUACAUAGCUAGAGAUAGAUGGUGACAGAUUUUCUAACCUAACACGUCCUCAACUUUAUCUAUUAAUAUCUCGCUUCGCAGUAGAGAGAUAUUAAUCGCGACGAUUUUAUCAGAGGAAAAAAUUUGGCAUGCACAAACGCGUCGAUUGAGCUCUCUUUUAUUAAAAUCGGAGGUGAGGUAGCUCUUCUGAACAAUUACCCUAACGCGUCUUCAACUUUAUCGAUUAAUAUCUCGCUUCGCGGGGCAGAGCCCCAAUUUUCUUAAAGGAAAAAGUUGUUACUCGUGCAAAUACCUUUCGAAUGAGCCUACAUUCAUCGAAAUCGGAGACAUAAGAAAUAGAUGCAACAUAUCAUAUAUACUUCUUUAGGAAAUAAAUUGGAUUUGGCAGAACGGAAAAGGAGACAAAACAUCAGUGAUCCUCUGUUCUUUGUUGUGUGUGCAUUAAUGUCAGUAAUAGCUGGCAAGUGACAAUUUAAAUGUAAUUUAAAUGUAUGAUAAGAUGUAGCGCCUAAUUAUGUAAAUGUUAUUCUAUAUUUUCUUUAAAACCUUCAUUUAAAUAAAAAUUUAUGUAAUUUCAUUAAUCUGAA